UACGUAGGGGGCGAGCGUUGUCCGGAUUUAUUGGGCGUAAAGAGCGUGUAGGCGGUUCGGUAAGUCUGUCGUGAAAUCCUGAGGCUCAACCUCGGGCGUGCGAUGGAUACUGCCGGGCUAGAGGGUGGUAGAGGCGAGUGGAAUUCCCGGUGUAGCGGUGAAAUGCGUAGAUAUUGGGAGGAACACCAGUGGCGAAGGCGGCUCGCUGGACCGGUUCUGACGCUGAGGCGCGAAAGCGUGGGGAGCAAACGGG
rnacentral:rRNA from 1 species